GUGAAUCAUCAAAUUUUUGAACGCAAAUUGCACUCUCUUCGGAGAGUAUGACUGUUUGUGGGUGAGCCUAUAAAAAUAGACAUCGUUGCUGUUUUGCGGUGGUGUUCGUCGGAAAUUGGGUCAUCUUAAAUCCUUUUGAUUUAAGAGACUUAAAAUUUUCUUUUGGUUUCAUGAACGUUUUUUAUAUCUAUUUCUUUAUAUGUUUAAGGUAUCGAUUUUUACUUGUCGUGAUCAUCAUAUCGGAUCGCGUUUAUUAUCUUUCAUUAAGUG
rnacentral:misc_RNA from 1 species